rnacentral:rRNA from 1 species
CUCUGGUGUUCCGGUUGUCACGCCAGUGGCAUUGCCGGGUAGCUAUGUUCGGAAAGGAUAACCGCUGAAAGCAUCUAAGCGGGAAGCCUCUCCCAAGAUAAGAUCUCCCUGAGACUUCGGUCUCCUNAAGAGUCGUCANAGACUAUGACGUUGAUAGGCAAGAUGUGUAAGCGCUGUGAGGCGUUGAGCUAACUUGUACUAAUAACUCGUGAGGCUUGAUUAUGUAACCUUA